AUAGCAAGAGUGAACCACCUGAAACCUUUCCGAACUCAGAAGUGAAGCCUCUUAGCGCCGAUGGUAGU
rnacentral:rRNA from 1 species